rnacentral:rRNA from 1 species
GAUCAUGGCUCAGGAUGAACGCUAGCUACAGGCUUAACACAUGCAAGUCGAGGGGGCAGCAUGGUCUUAGCUUGCUAAGGCCGAUGGCGACCGGCGCACGGGUGAGUAACACGUAUCAACCUGCCGUCUACUCUUGGACAGCCUUCUGAAAGGAAGAUUAAUACAAGAUGGCAUCAUGAGUCCGCAUGUUCACAAUGAUUAAAGGUAUUCCGGUAGACGA